CUCCAUCCUACUAAGUACUAAGUAGAAAUAAUCUCAAUUAAUUGUCUUAUCAACACUCUAUAGUCUAUUGGGAGGUUCAAUUGGUGUAAUACCUUGGUAUGUAUCCUACAAUUUGUUUGUUGUUAUUUGUUUGAUGUCACAAUGGAGCUUUACAACAUGAGUCAAGAUGUUUCUAUUACUACUAAUACUAGAUGCAAGAGCCUCGUGAUUUUAUCUGUCAUUUAUGUGGUACAGAAUAAAUUCGAAGAGUCAGUAUAAAUAGAGAAAAGUGAAGCACAAAAGCAAAUUGAUCAAGAUUGACCACCCUAAGCUCCUCAUUCAAUAUUCUAUAUAUAGUAAAUUUCCUUGCACUUUGAUACAUAGAUGAGGCUUCUUCACAUCUUUUUGGCUUUGCUCAUUAUGGCUUCAAUGUCAAGAGCUCAACCUCCUGUUGGUCCAACAACUUGUCCUGUGCCUAAAGAUAAAUGUGAAGAGGCAUGCAAUGUGAGAUGCUCACAAAAAGGUCACAAAAAAAGAUGUUUGUUUUAUUGCAACCAUUGUUGUGGAUGGUGUCAAUGUGUUCCACCAGGAUAUGUUGGGGAACAUAAAGAUUGUUGUCCUUGCUAUAGAGAUUGGAAGAAACAGACAGGAGAACCAAAGUGUCCAUGAAAUUAAUAUUAAUUAAUUAAUCAUGGAUUAAAAAAUAUGGUUUUUAUUGUAUUAAUUAAUGAGUUUUAUGUUUAAUUUACUUUAUUUGAUCUUCUUGAGAAGGAUUUCCUAUGUGUUGUUAAAGUCAAAUUAAUAUAUCUUGAUUAUGUUUUAUGCUU